ACGCUCGACACCUACGGAGGCAGCAGUUGGGAAUAUUGGACAAUGGAGGAAACUCUGAUCCAGUGACGCCGCGUGAAGGAAGAAGGUCUUCGGAUUGUAAACUUAUUUUGUCAGGGAAGAAAAAAUGACUGUACCUGAAGAAAAAGCACCGGCUAACUACGUGCCAGNCGCGUAUAUGAGCGGCGGUGCGAGCG
rnacentral:rRNA from 1 species